AUUACAGAGUUUUCUAACUCCCAAACCCAUGUGAACUUACCACUGUUGCCUCGGCGGAGCCUACCCUGUAGCUACCCUGUAGGGUGGUUACCCUGUAGCGCCCCGCCGGCGGAUUUUCAAACUCUUGUUAUUUUUUAAGUCAUCUGAGAGUCUUAUUUUAAAUAAGUCAAAACUUUCAACAACGGAUCUCUUGGUUCUGGCAUCGAUGAAGAACGCAGCGAAAUGCGAUAAGUAAUGUGAAUUGCAGAAUUCAGUGAAUCAUCGAAUCUUUGAACGCACAUUGCGCCCAUUAGUAUUCUAGUGGGCAUGCCUGUUCGAGCGUCAUUUCAACCCUUAAGCCUAGCUUAGUGUUGGGAAUCUAUGUGUGGCCCAAGCUACCCUGUAGCGUGGUUACCCUGUAGUUCCUGAAAAACAACGGCGGAUUUAUAGUGUCCUCUGAGCGUAGUAAUUUUUUAUCUCGCUUCUGUUUAGGCGCUGCAGACCCGGCCGCUAAACCCCCAAUUUUUCGUGGUUGACCUCGGAUCAGGUAGGAAUACCCGCUGAACUUAAGCAUAUCAAUAAGCGGAGGAAAAGAAACCAACAGGGAUUCCCCUAGUAACGGCGAGUGAAGCGGGAACAGCUCAAAUUUGAAAUCUGGCCUU
rnacentral:rRNA from 1 species